rnacentral:rRNA from 1 species
CCGUAGAGACGCUGGCGGCGUGCUUAACACAUGCAAGUCGAACGAUGAUCCGGUGCUUGCAUCGGGGAUUAGUGGCGAACGGGUGAGUAACACGUGAGUAACCUGCCCUUGACUCUGGGAUAAGCCUGGGAAACUGGGUCUAAUACCGGAUACGACCAUCUGGCGCAUGCCAUGGUGGUGGAAAGCUUUUGCGGUUUUGGAUGGACUCGCGGCCUAUCAGCUUGUUGGUGGGGUAAUGGCCUACCAAGGCGACGACGGGUAGCCGGCCUGAGAGGGUGACCGGCCACACUGGGACUGAGACACGGCCCAGACUCCUACGGGAGGCAGCAGUGGGGAAUAUUGCACAAUGGGCGCAAGCCUGAUGCAGCGACGCCGCGUGAGGGAUGACGGCCUUCGGGUUGUAAACCUCUUUCAGUAGGGAAGAAGCGAAAGUGACGGUACCUGCAGAAGAAGCGCCGGCUAACUACGUGCCAGCAGCCGCGGUAAUACGUAGGGCGCAAGCGUUAUCCGGAAUUAUUGGGCGUAAAGAGCUCGUAGGCGGUUUGUCGCGUCUGCUGUGAAAGACCGGGGCUCAACUCCGGUUCUGCAGUGGGUACGGGCAGACUAGAGUGAUGUAGGGGAGACUGGAAUUCCUGGUGUAGCGGUGAAAUGCGCAGAUAUCAGGAGGAACACCGAUGGCGAAGGCAGGUCUCUGGGCAUUAACUGACGCUGAGGAGCGAAAGCAUGGGGAGCGAACAGGAUUAGAUACCCUGGUAGUCCAUGCCGUAAACGUUGGGCACUAGGUGUGGGGGACAUUCCACGUUUUCCGCGCCGUAGCUAACGCAUUAAGUGCCCCGCCUGGAGA